rnacentral:rRNA from 1 species
UCAGGACGAACGCUGGCGGCGUGCUUAACACAUGCAAGUGGAGCGACGAACCAGGCUUCGGCUUGGGGCAAAGCCGCGAACGGGUGAGUAACACGUGGGUAACCUGCCCUGAUGAUCGGGACAACCCGGGGAAACCCGGGCUAAUACCGAAUGUGCCCACGAGCCACAAGGCUCGUGCGGAAAGGAAGCUUCGGCCUCCGCAUCGGGAUGGGCCCGCGGCCCAUUAGCUUGUUGGUGGGGUAACGGCCUACCAAGGCGACGAUGGGUAGCUGGUCUGAGAGGACGAUCAGCCACACUGGGACUGAGACACGGCCCAGACUCCUACGGGAGGCAGCAGUGGGGAAUCUUGCGCAAUGCGCGAAAGCGUGACGCAGCAACGCCGCGUGGGGGAAGACGGCCUUCGGGUUGUAAACCCCUUUCAGUUGGGACGAAGCUCCGUCGGUGAAUAGCCGGCUGGAGUGACGGUACCUUCAAAAGAAGCCCCGGCUAACUACGUGCCAGCAGCCGCGGUAAUACGUAGGGGGCAAGCGUUGUCCGGAAUCAUUGGGCGUAAAGAGCGUGUAGGCGGCCCGAUAAGUCCGCCGUGAAAGUCCAGGGCUG